UACGUAGGGACCAAGCGUUGUCCGGAAUCAUUGGGCGUAAAGCGCGCGUAGGUGGCUUCGUAAGUCCGUUGUGAAAGUCAAAGGCUCAACCUUUGAAAGCCGAUGGAUACUGCAAAUCUCGAGUCCGGAAGAGGUGAGUGGAAUUCCUAGUGUAGAGGUGAAAUUCGUAGAUAUUAGGAAGAACACCAGUGGCGAAGGCGGCUCACUGGUCCGGUACUGACGCUGAGGUGCGAAAGCGUGGGGAGCAAACAGG
rnacentral:rRNA from 1 species